rnacentral:rRNA from 1 species
UCGUCCGCUCCAGGUUAGUCGGGAGCUAAGGUGAGGCCUAACGGCGUAGCCGAUGCACAGACGGUAGAGAUUCCGUCACCACCAAAAGAGUUAAACACAGGGACACAUUUGAAGUCUCGGAGCCGGGUGUUGGUUCCGGUAGCGAUCGAGGGAAAUUAGUACCGAAGUUCGGGAUGGAAGAUGGCGAGAAGAGCUGUGUGUAUUUCUGCGGUGCCCGUACCGCAAACCGGCACAGGUAGGUAGGAAGAAGAUUCUAAGGCCAACGGGAGAAGGGUUGUUAAGGAACUCGGCAAAUUGACCCCGUAACUUCGGGAGAAGGGGUGCUCUAGAGAUAGAGCCGCAGAGAAUCGGCCCAAGCAACUGUUUACCAAAAACACAGGUUUGUGCUAAAUCGAAAGAUGACAUAUACGAGCUGACGCCUGCCCGGUGCUGGAAGGUUAAGAGGAGAUGUGCAAGCAUUGAAUCGAAGCCCCAGUGAACGGCGGCCGUAACAAUAACGGUCCUAAGGUAGCGAAAUUCCUUGUCAGGUAAGUUCUGACCCGCAUGAAAGGCGUAAUGAUUUGGGCACUGUCUCGACAGCCCGCCCGGCGAAAUUGUAGUACCGGUGAAGAUGCCGGUUACCCGCGACAAGACGGAAAGACCCCAUGGAGCUUUACUGUAGCCUAAUAUUGGGUUUCGAUGUUGCAUGCACAGGAUAGAUGGGACACAGGGAAACAAGUGCUUUGGCAUUUGUGGAGUGGCCGUUGGGAUACCAUCCUUGCGAUAUUGGAAUUCUAACCUGCGCCUUUGAAUCAAGGCGGGGGACAUUGUUAGGUGGGCAGUUUGACUGGGGCGGUCGCCUCCUAAAGAGUAACGGAGGCGUUCAAAGGUUCGCUCAGCUUGAACGGAAAUCAAGCAAAAGAGUGCAAACGCAGAAGCGAGCCUAACUGCGAGACUGACGGGUCGAGCAGUAACGAAAGUUGGAGUUAGUGAUCCGGUGGUAUGUGAGUGGAAAUGCCAUCGCUCAACGGAUAAAAGUUACCCUGGGGAUAACAGGCUGAUCUCCCCCAAGAGUCCACAUCGACGGGGAGGUUUGGCACCUCGAUGUCGGCUCAUCGCAUCCUGGGGCUGUAUUCGGUCCCAAGGGUUUGGCUGUUCGCCAAUUAAAGCGGUACGCGAGCUGGGUUCAGAACGUCGAGAGACAGUUCGGUCCCUAUCUGUCGUGGGCGCAGGAUAUUUGAUGGGAGCUGUUCCUAGUACGAGAGGACCGGAGCGGACGUACCUCUGGCGCACCAGUUGUUCUGCCAAGGGCAUAGCUGGGCAACUAUGUACGGAUCGGAUAAGCGCUGAAAGCAUCUAAGCGUGAAGCCGACCCAAAGAUAAGAUAUCCCAUUGUUUCAAACAAGUAAGACCCCUUGAAGACUACAAGGUUGAUAGGCACGAUGUGUAAGUGGAGUGAUUCAUUCAGCAAGCGUGUACUAAUAGGUCGAGGGCUUGAUC